rnacentral:rRNA from 1 species
AUGUUGAUCAACGUAGACGCUGCGAUCUUCUCCAGUACUUCAAAAGCUGGGUAUGGUGUUAUCAUGUGUAAUCAUCUAGGGGUUAUGCAGGCUGCUUGUCGAGGCUCUGUUGAUCAUGUGCAAUGUCCUGAAGUUGCUGAAGCAGUAGCCAUUCUCCAGGCGCUCAAGCUUGCCGAAAGCAUAGGAGUUCAGUCAUUUCAAAUUGCGUCUGAUUGUCUCUCACUUGUUAAUAAGCUACAACAGCAGGGGCAGGAUAGAACUUCGACAGGUGCCAUUGUUCAUGAUAUUAAACUGAGAGCCAAAAAGUUUGUAUCAUGUACCUUUAAGUAUGUUAGUCGAGUAUGUAAUGAGGCAGCCCAUGUUCUGUCCAGGUCGGCAGAACAUGACCAUGGAUCCUCUUGGUUAGAUGAGCCUCCUGAGAUUAUCAGGGCAACUAUGUGUACUGAACAAUUAAGGAAUGAAUGA